rnacentral:rRNA from 1 species
AAUGAACGCUGGCGGCGUGCUUUACACAUGCAAGUCGAGCGAGGCGGGUAGCAAUACCCAGUCGAGCGGCGAACGGGUGAGUAACACGUGGAUCAUCUACCUUCAGGUGGGGGAUAACCCGGGGAAACUCGGGCUAAUACCGCAUAACAUCGUGAGAUCAAAGGGGCGCAAGUCCCGCCAGAAGAGGAGUCCGCGUUCGAUUAGCUAGUUGGUAGGGUAAUGGCCUACCAAGGCGACGAUCGAUAGCCGGCCUGAGAGGGUGAUCGGCCACACUGGAACUGAGACACGGUCCAGACUCCUACGGGAGGCAGCAGUGGGGAAUUUUGCGCAAUGGGCGAAAGCCUGACGCAGCAACGCCGCGUGGAGGAUGAGGGUCUUUGGAUUGUAAACUCCUGUCAGCAGGGAAAAAGGGGUCUGGCCACACCAGAUCAUUGAUUGUACCUGCAGAGGAAGCCCCGGCUAACUCUGUGCCAGCAGCCGCGGUAAUACAGAGGGGGCAAGCGUUAUUCGGAAUUAUUGGGCGUAAAGGGCGCGUAGGCGGCUUGGCAAGUGGAAGGUGAAAUCCCUCGGCUCAACCGAGGAACUGCCUUCUAAACUGCUUUGAUUGAGUCCGGGAGAGGUCAGUGGAAUUCCCAGUGUAGCGGUGAAAUGCGUAGAUAUUGGGAGGAACACCAGUGGCGAAGGCGGCUGACUGGACGGAAACUGACGCUGAGAUACGAAAGCCAAGGGAGCGAACAGGAUUAGAUACCCUGGUAGUCUUGGCCAUAAACGAUGUUCACUAGGUGUUGGGGCUUAGCCUCGGUGCCGCAGCUAACGCAUUAAGUGGACCGCCUGGGGACUACGGCCGCAAGGUUGAGACUCAAAGGAAUUGGCGGGGGCCCGCACAAGCGGUGGAGCAUAUGGCUUAAUUCGAUGCAACGCGAAGAACCUUACCAGGGCUUGACAUGCAUCUGCACGGUGGUGAAAGCCACCCGCUUUCGAAGGUGAUGCACAGGUGGUGCAUGGCUGUCGUCAGCUCGUGUUGUGAAAUGUUGGGUUAAGUCCCGCAGCGAGCGCAACCCUCAUGUUUUGUUACCAGCGGGUAAAGCCGGGAACUCGAAACAAACUGCCUCUGUAAAGAGGAGGAAGGUGGGGAUGACGUCAAGUCAUCAUGCCCCUUACGCCCUGGGCUGCACAUAUGCUACAAUGGCCGGUACAAAGAGGAGCUAAGCCGCGAGGUAGAGCAAAUCUCAAAAAGCCGGUCUCAGUUCGGAUUGGAGUCUGCAACUCGACUCCAUGAAGUUGGAAUCGCUAGUAACCGCCGGUCAGCAACACGGCGGUGAAUACGUUCCCGGGCCUUGCACACACCGCCCGUCACAUGACGGAAGUUGGCCUUACCCGAAGUCAGUGCGCUAACCGCAAGGAAGCAGCUGCCGAAGGUAGUGUCGGCGACUGGCGU